rnacentral:rRNA from 1 species
UACGUAGGGUGCAAGCGUUAUCCGGAAUUAUUGGGCGUAAAGAGCUCGUAGGCGGUUUGUCGCGUCUGCCGUGAAAGUCCGGGGCUCAACUCCGGAUCUGCGGUGGGUACGGGCAGACUAGAGUGAUGUAGGGGAGACUGGAAUUCCUGGUGUAGCGGUGAAAUGCGCAGAUAUCAGGAGGAACACCAAUAGCGAAGGCAGCUCGCUGGGACGGUACCGACGCUAAGGCGCGAAAGCGUGGGGAGCGAACAGG